UACAGAGGGUGCAAGCGUUAAUCGGAAUUACUGGGCGUAAAGCGCGCGUAGGUGGUUUGUUAAGUUGGAUGUGAAAUCCCCGGGCUCAACUUGGGAACUGCGUUUGAAACUACAAGACUAGAAUAUGUCAGAGGGGGGUAGAAUUCCACGUGGAGCAGUGAAAUGCGUAGAGAUGUGGAGGAAUACCAAUGGUGAAGGCAGCCCCCUGGGAUAAUAUUGACGCUCAGGCACGAAAGCGUGGGGAGCAAACAGG
rnacentral:rRNA from 1 species